AGCAGCCGCGGUAAUUCCAGCUCCAAUAGCGUAUAUUAAAGUUGUUGCAGUUAAAAAGCUCGUAGUUGAAUUUCGGGAUCAAUACGUCGGUCGUGCUUCGGUACGUACUGGCGUAAUUGAUUUCUCCCUUCUGACGAACCAUGAUGUCAUUAACUUGGUGUCAUGGGAAAUCAGGACUGUUACUUUGAAAAAAUUAGAGUGUUUAAAGCAAGCUAACGCUUGAAUACAUUAGCAUGGAAUAAUGAAAUAGGACGUUCGAUCCUAUUUUGUUGGUUUCUAGGAUUGACGUAAUGAUUAAUAGGGAUAGUUGGGGGCAUUAGUAUUCAAUUGUCAGAGGUGAAAUUCUCGGAUUUAUUGAAGACUAACUACUGCGAAAGCAUUUGCCAAGGAUGUUUUCAUUAAUCAAGAACGAAAGUUAGGGGAUCGAAGACGAUCAGAUACCGUCGUAGUCUUAACCAUAAACUAUGCCGACUAGGGAUCGGAUGAUGUUUAAUUUUUAAUGUACUCAUU
rnacentral:rRNA from 1 species